CAAUAGCGUAUAUUUAAGUUGCUGCAGUUAAAAAGCUCGUAGUUGGAUUUCGGGUGGGAAUGGCCGGUCCGCCGUUUCGGUGUGCACUUGCUACGCCCACCUUGCUGCCGGGGACGUGCUCUUGAGUUCACGCUCGGGACACGGAGUCGGCGAGGUUACUUUGAGUAAAUUAGAGUGUUCAAAGCAGGCCUACGCUCUGAAUACAUUAGCAUGGAAUAACACGAUAGGACUCUGGCCUAUCUUGUUGGUCUGUAGGACCGGAGUAAUGAUUAAGAGGGACAGUCGGGGGCAUUCGUAUUUCAUUGUCAGAGGUGAAAUUCUUGGAUUUACGAAAGACGAACAACUGCGAAAGCACUUGCCAAGAGUGCUUUCAUUAA
rnacentral:rRNA from 1 species